UUAGUAACGGCGAGUGAACAGGGAAAAGCUCAAAUUUUAAAUCUGGCGGCCUUACGGUCGUCCGAGUUGUAAUCUAGAGAAGUGUUUUCCGCGCUGGACCGUGUACAAGUCCUUUGGAACAAGGCGUCAUAGAGGGUGAGAAUCCCGUCUACGACACGGACUACCAGUGCUUUGUGAUACACUCUCAACGAGUCGAGUUGUUUGGGAAUGCAGCUCAAAAUGGGUGGUAAAUUCCAUCUAAAGCUAAAUACAGGCGAAAGACCGAUAGCGAACAAGUACCGUGAGGGAAAGAUGAAAAGCACUUUGGAAAGAGAGUUAAACAGUACGUGAAAUUGUUGAAAGGGAAACGCUUGAAGUCAGUCGCGUCUUCAGAAACUCAGCCUAGCUUUUUUGCUUGGUGUACUUUUCUGUAAGACGGGCCAGCGUCAGUUUUGGCUGUCAGAAAAAGGUGAGAGGAAGGUGGCACCUCCGGGUGUGUUAUAGCCUCUCAUCGUAUGUGACGACCGGGACUGAGGACCGCAGCACGCCUUUAUGGCCGGGGUUCGCCCACGUAACGUGCUUAGGAUGCUGGCGUAAUGGCUUUAAACGACCCGUCUUGAAACACGGACCAAGGAGUCUAACAUGCCUGCGAGUAUUUGGGUGGUAAACCCAUAUGCGGAAUGAAAGUGAAACAGUUGGGACUUCUGUCAUGGAAGGCACCGACGCCCGGACCAGACCUAUUGUGACGGUUCCGAGGUAGAGCAUGUAUGUUGGGACCCGAAAGAUGGUGAACUAUGCCUGAGUAGGGUGAAGCCAGAGGAAACUCUGGUGGAGGCUCGUAGCGAUUCUGACGUGCAAAUCGAUCGUCGAACUUGGGUAU
rnacentral:rRNA from 1 species